rnacentral:lncRNA from 1 species
UGAAGAAGUACAUUUAAGGACAUCUGUCCCAUUACUCUGUCUUUAUUUAAAUGGCUUGUUAGUAGUGUGUCACCAGUGAUUUAAAAUGAGAUACAAGGUGUGUUCUUCGGAUUGAUUAUAACUACCAAUGAGCUUCCUCUGUUGAUUUUGUAUCUACGUUUUUUGUCCUGAAUCGAUUACAGUACCGUAAGGAUGACACUGGAGCUGGAGGUGGCUGGAAGAAUCACCACAUUCUCCCUUCCCCUCUCAGUUGGGUUGGACAGCACAUAAAGAAACCCUGGCCUGCACUCCCUAUCAAGCUUGCAGCGUAUGAUAUGUUGCUGUGGGAGUGUAACUGAUGCGCCUCAUUAGAGUUUGAGAUUGUGUUGGUUGUAUUUCCUGGGGAUGACACAGUUCACAGUUUCUCGGAAGUGCAGGAGAAGCAGACAUAAGCAAGUCUAAACAAGAAAGGAGGUUAAGCAUCAGCCGCUGGAUUGAUGGGAAUAGCGGAGGUCCUCUGUAGUGGUAUGCAUGAACCUGGGUUGCCAUGCUCCAGCUGUGAGCCACGUAAGGUUCCCUGCAUGUGUGGUGAGUCUGUAGCCACUCUGUUGCAUCUUUUAAUUCCCAUUCUCAAGGGCAGGAGGUAGAUGCAGUGUGUGUCUUUGCUGGGGAGCUGCCGCCAACUCUUGGGGCUGUACUUGAGGAGGUAUUUGCCACCUUAGGGAUGAGGAGUCAAGGCAUAGCAGCAUGGUGGCAGGCCAACGGCCACAGUCACCAUGGACACCUUAGUCUUUGGGCAGCAUUGGCCACUGUGGCCAUCAGCAAGCAGCUUACUGGCUUGCUUUCCUGACAGGCUGCUGAGCUGAGCUGCCUUUCUCAGGGCCACACUAGGCUCAAGAGCCAAUGCAAGAAAAGCUGAAGCUAGCAUGGCUAGGAGACGGGAGUAGAAGUGUCUUUUCUGAGCUGUAAGGCAAAUUUUAUCAUUAAAAGGCUGCUCAGCAACAGCAUGGACUUCAAAUGCAUUUAAUCCAAACCAUAAAAUCUGAGUAGCUCUGGAAGAGAAGGGGAUGUGAAAUGGACAUUACAAAAAUAAGCAGGGUGGAGGGACUAGAAGAAACAAAAGACCAUAGGAGAAUGGCCUGGUCUGUUGCACAAUGUAUUUUGAACAUCUCAGGACAUCUGUAAGCUCACAACAAAAUAAGUCUUAAUAAAGUCUGUUCUCUGUAGAAGUGAAUUAGGCA